UACAUGGGGUGCAAACGUUGCUCGGAAUUAUUGGGCGUAAAGCGCGCGUAGGCGGUUACUCAAGUCGGAUGUGAAAGCCCUCGGCUUAACUGAGGAAGUGCACCCGAAACUGAGUAGCUAGAGUACUAAAGAGGGUCGCGGAAUUCCCGGUGUAGAGGUGAAAUUCGUAGAUAUCGGGGAGGAACACCGGUGGCGAAGGCGGCGACCUGGGUAGAUACUGACGCUGAGGCGCGAAAGCGUGGGGAGCAACAGG
rnacentral:rRNA from 1 species